ensembl:lncRNA
ACGUGGGUCUGGGUUUUCAUCUCUGAGUUUACCUCUCUCAACCUCUGCCUCUCACUGUCUGCCUGUCUCUCUCACACACACACCCCACCCUGGGCACUCUUGGGUCCCACUCACCGCCUCUGCUCCUGAGUUCACCCAUUGGCUUCAUCUGGACACUGGGAGGUGGCGCCCCCAGGCCCUGACCCCCACCGGUGUCCUCAUGCGCAACCAGCAAGGGGUGCCCGGCGUGCAGCUCUGUUGGGGGGCCCCCACCCACCUGUCGCCUGCACGCGUUCGCUGUCGAUGAGACCUGAGUACUCAGAGUGAUGUGGAACCCCAGGAGGGACUGCUAGAGUCCUCAGGGGACAGGAUCCUGCUAAGCCAGCCGGGUACGUUCUAGAGACGACGUCUCUGCAGAAGCGUCUGGGGCAUCUACAGGAGCCCAGAGUCACAGCAAUCUGUUCUUCCGUGGAGGAAACCUAUUUAUCUUCCCUCCCAAUCCUCAGCAUUUUAUGACUUUUAUCAUGACAUCAGGCGGUCCGCCUUCACCUCUGCGUUUUUUUGUUUUUUUUUUUAAAUUUGUGGACGUACACCCAUCCUGCUGCUCAGCCUGGAAGGGUGCUGUCCCUCUUGAGGGGUGCUCGGGCUGACUUCAUCAGCCCCUGGAUGACUUGCGCUUUUUUUUUUUUUUCCCAUAAAUAAGUUGAGUCGGCUGUGGUCAAUUUGACAAACUCCAUCCCGACACAGAGCUGAGCAUGAAAAGCAGACAUCACACAGCCUCAAAACAGACGAAGAGGAGGAUGAAGCUCAUCAAACUGUUCUAGAAAAGUCAGAGGACCUGGGGACUAUACGGGCUUCCCAGGCGGUGCUUGUGCUAAAGAACCCGCCUGCCAAUGCAGGAGACCUAAGAGAUGCAGGUUUAACCCUGGGUCAGGAAGAUCCCCUGGAGGAGGACACAGCAACCCACUCCAGCAUUCUUGCCUGGAGAAUCCCACAGACAAAGGAGCCUGGCGGACUACAGUGCAUGGGGUCACAAAGAGUCGGGCAUGACUGAGCAACCCAGCAUGGGGACCACACAUCCACCCUCGUGCGGAGAUCCGUGUAGAAUCGCCGACAACAACGUCCGGUGCCAAGGACAGAGCGUACCAGGGACAAGUCCUAAUUGGGAUAGCAAAGUCAAAAAUAUACCAUCCCGAGCAACAGGACACAUCUGCGGUGGAUCCACACAGAAGCAAUUAAUUUCCUGGUGGUAUUUUUACACUGGGGGCCUGGUGCAGGCCCCCAUUAUACAAACAAAAACUCCAGACAGCCCUGCUGCCUGAUAAAAAAUAAAUCAGAUUGCAGAAGGGCUGUUUGGCCCAGGACUGCUACAGGCAAUGACUUGUAAUGAGGCGUCCCGACACUAAUUAU